rnacentral:rRNA from 1 species
ACAGGGAUUACCUCAGUAACGGCGAGUGAAGCGGUAACAGCUCAAAUUUGAAAUCUGGCCCCCUCGGGGUCCGAGUUGUAAUUUGUAGAAGAUGCUUCGGGUGAGGCGCCGGUCUAAGUUCCUUGGAACAGGACGUCAUAGAGGGUGAGAAUCCCGUACGUGACUGGCCGCCUUCGCCCGUGUGAAGCUCUUUCGACGAGUCGAGUUGUUUGGGAAUGCAGCUCAAAAUGGGUGGUACAUUUCAUCUAAAGCUAAAUAUUGGCCAGAGACCGAUAGCGCACAAGUAGAGUGAUCGAAAGAUGAAAAGCACUUUGGAAAGAGAGUUAAACAGUACGUGAAAUUGUUGAAAGGGAAGCGCUUGCAACCAGACUUGCGGGCGGCCGAUCAUCCGGGGUUCUCCCCGGUGCACUCGGCCGCCCUCAGGCCAGCAUCGGUUCUGGUGGUGGGAUAAAGGCCCUAGGAACGUGACUCCCCCCGGGGAGUGUUAUAGCCUAGGGCGCAAUGCCGCCUGCCGGGACCGAGGACCGCGCUUCGGCUAGGAUGCUGGCGUAAUGGUUGUAAGCGACCCGUCUUGAAACACGGACCAAGGAGUCUAACAUCUAUGCGAGUGUUUGGGUGUCAAACCCAUACGCGGAAUGAAAGUGAACGGAGGUGAGAACCCGUUAGGGUGCAUCAUCGACCGGUCCUGAUGUCUUCGGAUGGAUCUGAGUAAGAGCAUAGCUGUUGGGACCCGAAAGAUGGUGAACUAUGCCUGAAUAGGGUGAAGCCAGAGGAAACUCUGGUGGAGGCUCGCAGCGGUUCUGACGUGCAAAUCGAUCGUCAAAUUUGGGUAUAGGGGCGAAAGACUAAUCGAACCAUCUAGUAGCUGG